UUAAACUAAUUUAAUAGAUAUGUUUUUCUUUAGUUCUAAGUUUUUUUGGGUCUGGUUUUUUCGCCGCUUGUUUGUACUUCAUUUCAUCAUCGUUCGAAAGUAUCGUGUUAUCUUCCGUAUUUGAAGCACUUUCCAGCAUUGGUAUUGGUCUAGUAUUUUGCAUAGGUGUUGAAAUAUUUCCAACAGAAUAUAGAGGCGUUGGCGUUUCUAUUGGUUCCAUGUUUGGCAGAAUAGGUGCAGUUCUUGGCAACAUCGUAGUUGGUGUAUUUAUAGAUGCACAUUGUAUGGUUCCUAUUUUAGUAUCGUGCUCUCUUUUGAUAAUUUCAGGGUUAUUAGUAUUAACAUUACCAAAAACUGGAAGGACCACCAUAAAAUGAAAAAAUAAUAUUAGAAGAGAGAAUUCUGAACUUGUAUAAUUAUUAAACAAUUAGUAUAUCCUGUUUCUUACAAUUUUAUAAUAUAUACAAAUUUUACAUACAUUUAUUAUUUUAUUUUUGUCCGUACAUUUAUGAAUAUAUCUUUAUAAUUUAUUAUGUAUAAAUAAAUAAUUAUUUAUUAAACUUCGUAAAAAAUUAAUGAUUUGUAAAGAAAAAUACAUAAGUAGACACAUUGUAAUACGUUGGUCUACCUAUGUCGAGGUAUUUUCUAAAUAUGUACUCAAAACUUUGUUUUAUUGUAAUAUUUUGUGAAUGUUUGUUGUAUUUUUUCCUUUUGUUAAAUAUAUAAGUAUUUUCAUUUGCACUUAUUUAGGCUGUGUUUAAUUACGUUUGAUUUAUAUAAUGUAUAUAGUAUAAUAAAUUUCAUAUUGUUUGUAAAUAUUAUAAUCAGUGUAUAAAUUGGAAAAGAAUAUAAAGGGGAUGGAAAAGUGUAAAAAAAAUGUGCGUACCUGUUAAGAUAUUUGAAUAAUAUAAUUUAGUAUAAUAUGUUUA